rnacentral:rRNA from 1 species
GGGAGGGGGGGCUAGCGUUGUUCGGAAUGACUGGGCGUAAAGGGCGCGUAGGGCGGUUUUUAAGUGAGGCGUGAAAGCCCUGGGGCUUAACCCAGGAGGUGCGUUUCAUACUGGAAAACUUGAGUACGAGAGAGGAAAGUGGAAUUCCUAGUGUAGAGGUGAAAUUCGUAGAUAUUAGGAAGAACACCAGUGGCGAAGGCGACUUUCUGGCUCGUAACUGACGCUGAGGCGCGAAAGCGUGGGGAGCAAACAGGAUUAGAUACCCUGGUAGUCCACGCCGUAAACGAUGAGUGCUAGACGUUGGAGAGCAAUCUUCAGUGUCGCAGCUAACGCAUUAAGCACUCCGCCUGGGGAGUACGGUCGCAAAGAUUA